ACCCCCAGCAAUGGGCAAAGAGACACCUUGUUGGUGGAGUUCUUAUGUCAGUCAGGGGCAGGGCAGAUGGCAGUCCUUUGUUCAUCCUAGCCUGAUGCCUGGCUUGGUGGCCAAAGGUGUCUUACGCCUAGGAUUCAUAA